rnacentral:ncRNA from 1 species
GGAAGUAGAGGUUGCGUUAUAAAUUAGUAGCACAUUGGAUACUACCAGGUAUAUGAAGAUGUGUGAAAGGCAUUAACGCCGAAGAGAGAUAAGAGGGUAAAUUAUUUCUCUGGGCAUAUGGUUAAUAAUCAUAUGACUGUCAUCGCCAGAUGGAGAGCUACG